rnacentral:rRNA from 1 species
UACGAAGGGGGCUAGCGUUGUUCGGAAUCACUGGGCGUAAAGCGCACGUAGGCGGAUUGUUAAGUCGGGGGUGAAAUCCUGAGGCUCAACCUCAGAACUGCCUUCGAUACUGGCAAUCUCGAGUCCGGAAGAGGUUGGUGGAACAGCUAGUGUAGAGGUGAAAUUCGUAGAUAUUAGCUAGAACACCAGUGGCGAAGGCGGCCAACUGGUCCGGUACUGACGCUGAGGUGCGAAAGCUAGGGGAGCAAACGGG